UACGGGGGGGGCAAGCGUUGUUCGGAAUUACUGGGCGUAAAGGGCUCGUAGGCGGCCAACUAGGUCAGACGUGAAAUCCCCAGGCUCAACCUGGGAACUGCGUCUGAUACUGGAUGGCUUGAAUUCGGGAGAGGGAUGCAGAAUUCCAGGUGUAGCGGUGAAAUGCGUAGAUAUCUGGAGGAAUACCGGUGGCGAAGGCGGCAUCCUGGACCGACAUUGACGCUGAUGAGCGAAAGCUAGGGGAGCAAACGGG
rnacentral:rRNA from 1 species